rnacentral:lncRNA from 1 species
CAAUAAUUUAUUAACAAAUAAAUAUUAAGAUUAAAAUACAAAAUCAAUAUACAGUAUAUGCAAUAUAAUAACUUAUAGGGAUAAAACGUCACACGAAACCUCUCUGACUGUAAAUAUUUCUACAAUAUUUACUCGUCGAAGGCUAUCAAGUCAUAUAGCCAAAAAUUGUGAAAAUAAAUAUUUACAUGCAUGCAUGCAGUCAGAGAACCAUUUAAUAUUUCACAGAGUACUCCGUUUGACCGUAAAUUCUAGAACCAAAGGGGCGGGAUUACAGUUGGAUUUAGAGAAAUGUGGCGGAUAAACAAGAAAGGCCGUUGUUUUCAAAACGGAAAGCCCAUUUCUGCAAACAGAGAUGUAAUAUUGCAGACGAAAUCAAAUUUUAGAUUUUGUUGAUGUAGCGAUGAACUAUAUUUGUAAUGUGCAAGUCAGGAGAAGCAAAUGCGAAGGCCUUUAUCGUGAUAUUUUUCUCCUUCUCUAACAAUCCUUUUAUUUGAAAGUUGAAGUAAGACGACGAGAAAUCAACUUCCGUGUCGUCAACUUCGGUUGUAAGACGUGCAUGUUUCGAAUCCAUCGUAAGAGAAACUCAUUAGAUUUUCUUCUAUCAUAAAAACGAGCGUUGGUCUCUUUGCAGCAUAAUAGUCGUAAAUAAUUAACUUUCACUAUGGACAUAGUUAUCGACAACUUUAUUUAGCAAAAACAACAAUGGCAACGAAGUGCAUGGCACGCAUUAAACGGCUUCUAUCUAUUGCGCGCCAACUGUAAUCCCGCCCCUUAGAAAUAUUGUCAUUGUCACAGCCCAACGUGCUUUGCGAACGCAUGCUGCUAGAUCAUGUUGUUUUACUAGGAGAAGAUGGGUUGAUCUUUGUGAUUGAUAAUUUUGGAGGAUGAUAUGGAAGUUGAUUUGUCAAAUAAAAGGAUUGUUAUAAAAGGAGAAAAUAUAACGACAAAGGACUUCGCAUUUGAUUCUCCUGGCUUGCACAUUACAAGUAGUUCAUCGUUAUACAGUGGGGGUCAAAAGCAGUGGCGUACUACGCAGACCUUCAUUUUGGAGGGGGGGGGGGACUCAUGCAAGGCAUGAGACCGUCUGGGGGGGGGGGCGGGGGCAUGCACCCCCAAGAAAAUUUUAAAAUCUAGAUCCCCUGAAAUGCGAUUUCAAGCAUUUUGGGAGUGAAAUCUUGGACAAUUCUGAAAAUUAUUUUCCCAGACAUUUCUCCUCGGAGUUAAAUAAGUCACCUUACCUUGAAAAGUCACCUUGAAAAGCCACCUUAUACGCCACUGGUCAAAAGUCUGAGUCCAGUCAAUAUGAUCUUGCCUUUUUAUAUUGAUAUACAAUACAUUUUGACACAACACACUACUAUAUGUGCAACAAAUAAGGAUAAUUUUACACUACCGUUGGAAUUGAUUAUACUAUAUUAGCCAAGUGAAUAUUAUAUUGAUAUUUGUGUGACCUCCUUUUGAUUUUAAAACAGCUUAUACUCUUCCUGGCAUACAUGUAGACUGAACAAAUUUUGAUGGUUUUUUCUUAGUAUUUAAUAUGGUUUUUCUUAGUAUUGAUGGUUUUCAAGGUUAUUCCAGAAUUAUUGAUUAACAACAUGCUAUUGGUUGGCUGCUUUUAGUUGUGGGAUUAUGUUUCACUUUUCAUAAAUU